GGGUGACUGGCCACAUUGGGACUGAGACACGGCCCAAACUCCUACGGGAGGCAGCAGCUAAGAAUCUUCCGCAAUGGGCGCAAGCCUGACGGAGCGACGCCGCGUGGACGAAGAAUGCCGAGAGGUUGUAAAGUCCUUUUAUAUGCGAAGAAUAAUAUCUGUAGGUAAUGACAGAUAGAUGACGUUAGCUUAUGAAUAAGCUCCGGCCAAUUACGUGCCAGCAGCCGCGGUAACGCGUAAGGAGCGAGCGUUGUUCGGAAUUAUUGGGCGUAAAGGGCAUGUAGGCGGUUAUGUAAGUCCGAUGUGAAAUACCACAGCUUAACUGUGGAAACGCAUUGGAAACUGUGUGACUUGAAUCAGUGAGGGGUAACCGGAAUUUCUAGUGUAGGGGUGAAAUCUGUUGAUAUUAGAAAGAACACCGAUGGCGAAGGCAGGUUACUGGCACAUGAUUGACGCUGAGAUGCGAAAGCGUAGGGAGCGAACAGGAUUAGAUACCCUGGUAGUCUACGCUGUAAACGAUGUACACUUGGUGUCGGGGUUUCUAAGCCUCGGUGCCGCAGCUAACGCGUUAAGUGUACCGCCUGGGGAGUAUGCCGGCAACGGUGAAACUCAAAGGAAUUGACGGGGGCCCGCACAAGCGGUGGAGCAUGUGGUUUAAUUCGAUGAUACGCGAGAAACCUUACCAGGGUUUGACAUAUUUAUGGUCGUCUUAGAGAUAAGAUUUUCCCUUCGGGGACAUUUAUACAGGUGCUGCAUGGUUGUCGUCAGCUCGUGCCGUGAGGUGUUGGGUUAAGUCCCGCAACGAGCGCAACCCCUAUUGUCUGUUACCAUCAUUAAGUUGGGGACUCAGGCAAGACUGCCGGUGACAAACCGGAGGAAGGUGGGGACGACGUUAAAUCAUCAUGGCCCUUAUAUCCUGGGCUACACACGUGCUACAAUGGCCGGUACAAAGUGAAGCGAAGCCGCGAGGUGAAGCAAAACGCAUAAAGCCGGUCUCAGUUCGGAUUGGAGUCUGAAACUCGACUCCAUGAAGGUGGAAUCGCUAGUAAUCGCGCAUCAGCAUGGCGCGGUGAAUACGUUCCCGGGCCUUGUACACACCGCCCGUCACACCACCCGAGUUGGGGGUACCCGAAGUCGCUAGUCUAACCUGAUUCAGGAGGACGGCGCCGAAGGUAUGCCUGGUAAGGGGGGUGAAGUCGAAACAAGGUA
rnacentral:rRNA from 1 species